CCGCCAAAGGGAAGGUGGGGUGUCGGACCACAGCUCCCAGAGUGCCCUCCUGGAUGAAGCAGGACUGCCUGUCCUACCGGACCCCUUCAGAGCCCCCAGCCUAGGGCCACUGUGCAUGCUGGGAGCCAUAGAUACAUAGGUGCAUAUAACAGAUUUUCUUCCUUUUGUGACUAUAAAUGCUUAUCAGGAACCAGAAAUCACAUUUCCGGUAUUUAAACCAACAAGUCUCAACUAUGGCUGCCUGUGAGAAUUUCCUAGAGAGGGCUUAAACACAAUGUCGGCCCCUACACAGGACCAAAUAAAUCAAAACAUCCAUGGAUCAGGGCUUAAGGAGAGCAUAUUUCGGUUUAGGCCAUUGGAUCUCAAACUUUAACCUGCGUCAGCGUCACCCAGAGGGCCUGGUAAACACGGAUUGCUUUGCCGCUUCUAACAUAAGCGCUUUCUCACAGUGCAGGUGCUCUGAAAAUAUUUGCUGAAUAAAUAGUGCCAGGUUUGCAUUGGAAAAGAACAAAGUUCUAGACCAGGCUUGAUUAACUGGUGUCCGUGGAUGGGUUUUGGGAUGGGUGAGCUCCUGAAAUUUUCCACUCUGCUUCGUGGGCACGUGCCUGUGUUCAUAUGCAGGACAGUCUCUUGCUUCUGUCAGAUUUUUAAUGAAUGCGGGUGGGGGCACGACCUAGAAGUGCCACAAGCUACGCUUAUGGGGACUAAAUAUUAUUUUCCUUCAGGCUUUAUUUUUUUCAUGAGUAGAGUAAAAACAAUAAAAAUAGUCUUUUGUUUAAAAAAACCCUAAAUUUUAGUACUGAUGAGCAUAAAAAGCAUUUCAUCUUGUUGAAAAAAUAAUAAACCAGACACUAAAGACACUAGUCUGCCAGCCAAGAGCCUUUUUGCAGACAAAGGCCCAUCAUUUGAGGAAUGCGCCUAUGCUUGUUCCACUUUGAUCAGAAUUUAUUGCAGACUGAAAAAUAAAGGGCAAGACUGCUGUCUCUCAGAGGCAGGCAGUCUGUCUUGUCACCCUCGCCCCGAGGGCCUGCCCAGGAGGGCACACAGUAAUUGGUUGAAAGUAGAAUGGUAUUGGUAAUACACACUACUCAAUUCUGAAAAGCAUGCAAGAAACAUUAAUAAAAUAUCAUCCUAAUGUCCUCUGUAGUUUUGAGUUAGUAAACUUUUAUUUUUUUGAAAUAUGUUCUUUGUUUCUUGCCCUUCAAGACUCGAAGAUUUACCUUCUGCAAGAAAAUUGCUAAAAGCCUUCCCUUUGACAAAUGUAUAACAAUGAUUAUUUUAAAAUUAUUAGAUAUUGUUUUCAUAAUAUUUGACUCAUAAACUAACACCUUUAUUAUUUACUGUGUUAGACACAUGCAUUUAUAUUAUACUGUUAUAUCUUAUGAAAUAAAAUAAUAAAUAUUAUCAUUAUAGUUAAGGACAGAGUUGUGAGUCUAAGAAGAAAAGCCCCUGGCCAAUGUCCAUCAUCCCCAAUGCAGUGAUUUCUUUCUCUGCCAGAUGCUUCUCGAAUUCAAAUGCAACUUUAUUCAGAGAAAUAACCUCUCAUGCACUGUUCCAUAGAGGGUCCAGUGAAAUCUCUACUGAUUAAUGUGGUCCAACAGCACCUGUUCACCAGGGUGCCAAGGAAUAUAGCUGUAAUCCAUACCUAUUACAACUCUCUCUCUCUCUCUCUCUCUCUCUCUCUCUCUCAGAAGCAAAUGGCCUUUCAGAAUUUUAAACUUGUGUAUAACUUUUUUGCACAAAAGAAAGUAUUGUUCUAUGUUAAUAGAGAUCUUUUCCUUUUUGAAGACUUCAAAAUAUUCCACUGUACGGGCACAUGAUUAUUGUUUUUUUAAAAACCGGGCUCCUACUGAUGAAGGUUUAGGUUGCUUCUCAUUUUUCCCUAGGAUGAACAGAGCAAUGCACAUUUGUGUAAGCACAGCUUUUGUAUUUCGUAGGGGAAGGGUAGUGUAGUUACGAUUAUAGCUUUCUUUCUGUCAGCCCCAGCCAUCAAAAAUUCUGGAUGUUAGCCAUGUCUGCCAUCUAGUAGCCAUAGAAACUUGGGGAAAUUACUUAAGUUUGUGUGUGUGCAUGUGAAAUGGAAAUACUAAUUGCUACUCUGCCUUUCUCAUAGGGACGGGAAAUGAUGGAUGGGAACAUGCUUUGAAAACUCUAUUUCAUCAGUGUUCUUUAUCCUUCUAACACGCUAUGUACACAGCUUUGUUCAUGGUCCCCAGUUUUAUCUUGAGUACUCCGUAAAUACUCGUUGCAUGAAAGACUGUGAAUGGGCUUUAUCAGUGGCUCUCAAAUUGCAAUCUCUGCACCACCUGCCAGUGAGCCACCUGGUGCACCAGUUAAAAAGGCAGAUUCCUGGGUGACCUAUUAAAUGAGAAUCUGUGUGUACAGGAGGGCCUGGGAAUGGAGAGGCCUGGAUUUGACUUUUCUUGUAGUUCCUGAGUGAGUCUGAUGUAGAUGAAAAUUUGAGAACCCCUGGGUGAGGCACACACUGAUAUUGCAUGUCCUCAUUUAAAGUUCCCCGCCAGGAAAAAGUGUCACUACUUUGUUGGCUGAAGGAGAAGCAUGUUCAUACAAGAAAUUGUCUCCUAUACAUUUUACAGACUUAAACAGUAUCCUUAGAGAUCCAUUCAGAGUGAGUAGACUACUCAAAAGGAUGGUAAAUGUCUUGCAUAUAAUUUUUUCAAGAGAGGCUUUAGCUUCCUCGUCAAGUUUUAAGAUUGUGUGGGUGUCUACUUUUGGCUGAAUAAAAAAUUCCCUGCCAUGACUGCUAACAGUCACACUGAAUGUAGCUGUGCAAAAUGUCCCUGAGGAAACAGGACACAAAGCCAGUCCUUUCUGGGUAACAGAGGCUGUGAAUAGCACAAAGAAGGCGCAGUCUCUUUUCAUGCAGUUCUUCCUGUGCUAAUAUUUGUCGCCACUGGAGAAAGUAGGAAAUGCAGGGAGAAUGGUGGGGUAUGUCCAGCAACCCAAACAUCACUUUCCACGUGGCCUGUGGUUGCAUUACAGAAGGAGGAAUGAGAUGUUUCUCUGUGACCGGGUAAUAAGAACAGCUCACAGUGGGAGCGCUUGCUUGAUAAAAGCUGCGUUAGGUGUUAUACAUAUAGUAUCAUGUUAAAGUUCAUUAAUUUGCUAGUCAUUGCAAAGUUUUUAAUAAAAUGAAAUGUGGAAAAAAAGCUAGGAAAACCUAAACAAACACCCAAAUACUUUGAGCCCACAGGGAAAGCCAGAAAUCCUGUUUCAUUUGAAAGUAUCAGCUCCAGCUUCUAUGAUGUCAUGUGCCAGACAAAUCUGUUGGACAAGGUCAUGGUUUGGUGAGCCAGUAAGGUGACAUUGCUUAAGAAAAUGCCAUCUAGUCUGCUUGGGAAAGAAAAACAAACACAUUUGGAACAUCUAGUGCUAUUUGAUAUUUUCAGCUGCGAUGCUGAGGACAGAGCCGGGGCAUUGUCGUCAGAACUGAUGUCAGUCUGUUAACGUUUGAAAAUUCUCCUCUGUUUGCAUAGCAUAUAAUGUAAGGUGUCUCCUUACAUAAUGUAAGAUGGACUCCUGCCUUAAAGGAGUUUACAUCCUAUUAUAAGGAAAGGAGCACAAAUCCUCACACAUUCUUAAAGUAAACUUGUAUGUUAACUAUGAAAAGCAGCCUGAGGCCUUACAGAUUGGUGGUUAAGAAUCAAGAGAUGAAAGACAGAAGUAAGAGGCUCAGGGGGAGAGUUAGGCAGAAAUGGAGGAGUUAUGGGAAGCACACCUCUGCCAGAGAAGAGCACAAGGGAAAGAGCAGAAAAUUAAGUCCCUGGUUACCAGCCUUGCUAGAUCACGUUAUGCUCUACCCAGACUGGUCUCUGAGCGUUCACGAUGUUGGGAUAACCAAGCCUUCUCUCUUGGCCACAGGCCUAGAGCAUCCCUUUCCCUGCUCCCCUUCCCUGAAUCCAUGCCGCCUGACCGCAGCUCCUUUGACAUCAGAGACUGCCGGAGUCGCCAGCAAAGUGCAGAGUUCCCGGCUUCCUGGAAUCCAGUGUAGCACUGCAUUCCCUACUCUGACCCUCCGGAAAGGUCUCCAUGUGCCCAGAGCACUUCUGCGCACUGUUCUCUUGGGGAAUGAGCCAGUCCCUCCUUUCAGUAGUAACUGGCAAAAUAAUGAAGAUAAAAGACAUGUUGAAGACAAGCUAAGAGAGAGGAGGUCAAAGAUAAUUUAUUACAGGGAGGUCUCAGCCAAGGAUCUAAGAGGAUGGAGGAAGAAUGAUAUUUUUUCUUUCCUAUCAGGGUAACCAGGUAGCACCAGCUAAUGAGGAAUGCCUCAAUCAACAUAUAGUAAUGAUAAAAUUUAAAAAUAAUAAAAUAAUCAUUCUGAAAUAGUCCAAUUAUUGAUUCAAGUAAGGGAUUGGUGUUGCCCCCAGAAAAGAAUGAUUGGGUGGGCACUGGACACCUGUGGGGGGCCACAGUAACACUAACACUAAUGAGGGGCAUCAGUCCCCACCCACUGUGGUCUCUCUCAAUAUUCCACUGGUGGACAGCCAGAUGUCACGAGUCAUGACAAAAUGCAAUAUGAAGUAAAGCACAUCAUCUAGGUGUAUAGUAGCCAAAAAGGUUCAGAUCUAAUCAAGCCUUUAUAUCUAAUCUCCAACUUGCAGGAGAAGGUAAAUGUUGCUAUAAGCAACCAGCAGAUAAAUCACUGUGAGCCGGUCUUAUCCGCAAGGCAGUGCUGUUAAAAUAUGACUAACCAGACUAAAAGGGACUUAAAUCAGUGCAGUGUGUGAUCUCAGAUUGGAUUCUGUUUUGUAAUUAUAUACGGUUUGGGGGACAUUUAGAGGAAUUAAAUGCGGACUUGUUAUUAGGUACUACAAAAGAUUUAAAGCAACAUUUUAAGUGAGAAAAUGUUAUUUUAAUUACAUAGGAAAAUGCUUUUUUUUCUUUUUUAAGGUUCAUUUGAUAUACUCAUGGUGGAAUGUCCUGAUGUUCAGGAAGUCACAUUAAAACAAUUCUACAUAAAAAAUAAAUGUUCAGGAAGGUUCUGAGUGUAGGGGAGGAGAAGCGGGGUGGUCACUUUCAUUGCUUUUAUUCAACAUAGUGUUGGGAGUGGUGGCCUCAGCAUUCAAACAAGAAGAAGAAAUAAAUGGCAUCCAAAUUUGAAAGAAAGAAGUAAAUGGUCAUUACUUAUAGGUGACAAGAUACUACAUAUAGAGAACUCUGGAGAUUACACCAAAGAACUUCUAGAACUGGUAUACAAACCCAGGAAAGUAGCAGGACACAACAUAAAAAUUUGGAAAUCCGUUGCAUUUUUAUACAGCAAUAAUGAAGUAUCAGAAAGAGAAAUUAAGAAAACAAUCUCAUUUACAACUGUGCCAGAAAGAUAAAAUACCUAGAAAUAAAGUCACCAAUAAGGUAAAAGACUUGUACUCAGACAAAUUAUAAGAUGGUUGGGGGUGUGCAAAGAGGCCACCAAUCAAUGCCCCUCGCCCACAUCAGUGUUUCUCUCCCUCUCUUUCUCUCUUACUUCUCCUCUAAACCUCAAAAAGGAAAUAAAUAAAUAAACAAACAAACAAACAAAUAAAUAAAAUCUUUUUAAAAAGUCAGACAGCUCAAUACCCCAAAAAUGAACGAUCCAAUUUAAAACUAGACAAAGGACCUGAAUAGACACUUCUCCAUAUUCAGAUGAUCUGAAUAUGAAAAGAUGCUCAAGGCCACUAAUCGGAACUAACCUUACACCUGUGGGAUGGCUAUCACCAAUAAAUCAACAAGCAGCAAGUGUUGGCAAGGAUGGGGCAAAAGGGAAACCCUAGUGCACCAUAGGCAGGUUGUAAAUUGGUGCAACCACUUUGGAAAACUGUAUGAAGGUUCCUCAAUAAAUUAAAAAUAGAACAACCUUAUGGUCCAGCAGUUCCUCUUCUAGAUAUGCAGGGUAGGCAAGAGUAGGUUUACAGUUGCGAAGAUGUAAAGCAAGCUUAUUCUUGUAUUAUUUUUAUUAACUAUUGUAUCAUUUAUUUGUAUUACAACUGUAAACCUACCUUUGUCUAUUUCCAUAUAUCCAAAAAAUUCCAAAACACUAAUUAGAAAAGAUAUGUACCUCUAUGUUCAUUUCAGAGUUAUCUGUAAUAACAAAAAUAUAGUAAUGAUCCAAGUGCCCAUAGACAAAUGGAUAAGGAAGAAGUGGUACAUCUAUACAAUAGGAUAUUAGUCAGCCAUAAUGAAGAAUGAAAUCUUACCAUUCAUGACAGUACAGGUAGACUUCAGGGGUAUUAUGUUAAGUGAAAUAAGUCAGACAAAGACAAACAACAUAUGAUUUCCCUUAUACGAUGAAUCUGAAGAACAAAAUUAACAAAAUUGAAAGACUCAUAGAUACAGAAAACAAACUGAGGGUUGCCAGGUGAGAGGGGGCUCGGGGGCUCGGUGAGAAAGGUGAAGGGAUUGAGAAGUACAAAUGGGCAGUUACAGGAGAGUCACAGGGGUGCAAAGGACAGCAUAGGGAUGUAGUCAAUGACAUUAUAAUAAUUACGUAUGGUACUAUUACAGGUGGGUAUGAUAAUUAUCAGGGAUCAUGUCAUAAAUUACAUAAUUUUCUAACCACUAUGCUAUACACUUGAAACUAAUUUAAAAUAAUACUGAGUGUCAACUGUAAUUGAAAAAUAACAUUUUUAGAAAUGAAGGUUUUUCUUAUACAGUGGCUCCUUCCCAUUCGCAGUGUCACUUUGCACAGUUUUAGUUACCUGUGGCCAACCAUGGUCCAAAAAGAUUAAACAAAAAAUUCCAUAAAUAAGCAAUGUAUAACUUUUAAAUUUUACAAUGUUCUGAGUGGUAUGAUGAAAUCUCAUGCCUUUUCACGCCCUCCUACCUGGGACAUGAAAUAUGCCUUCGUUCCACUUCUCCACGCCAUUUGUCACUUAGCCACCGGGGUAUCAGGUCAGCUGUUGCAGAAUUGCGGUCUUAUGUUCCUGUUACCUUUGUUUUGCUUAAUAAUAGUCCCAAAGCCAUUCACAAAACUUUCAUAGAAGUAUACUGUUAUAACUAUUCUAUUGUAGUUGUUAUUAAUCUCUUAUAGUGCCUAGCUUAUAGAUUAAAAUUUAUCAUAGGUAUAUAUACAGAAAAAAUGUAAUAUAUGUGUAUAUAUGUAUAUGUGUGUAUAUACAUACAUAUACAUAUACGUGUGUAUAUAUGUGUGUGUGUGUGUAUAUAUAUGGUUCACUGAUUUGUGGCCUUAGGCAUCCACUGGGGUCUUGCAAUGUACCCCUAGGGAUGAGGGGGGACUGCUGUAAAUGUAAGUGUCCCCUACGAAAGAGUGAUUUCUACUUGCUUUCCAGAGCUUCUCUUGGGUCUGCUAUUUCUUAAAAAUAACCAGCUCAAGAUAUUCCUUACAUCAAAGAGGCAUAUUUGGGAGCAGCACAUUCUGAACCCCUUCACAGGGAAUUAGAUGACACAUUUUCACUGAGUUAAUUAUUUUCCGCAAUAGAAUAUUUCAUUACAUUAUAAUACAAGAUUUUCACAUCUCUGGGUUUUUGAUGUGUGAGCCUAGACCCUAAGUCUGUGUUGGCUUUGCCACUUCGGCCACAGUAACAAUCCACAGUGCCACCGGUGGCAAACUCGGGACAUUAGCGUGCUAGGGGGCUUCAACAAGAGAAUUUGUUCUCUCCCAGUUCUGGAGGCUAGAAGUCCAAGAUGAAUCAUCAGGGUUGGGCCCCUCUGAGGACCCUGAGAGAGUCUGUUUCAGGCCUCUCCCCUUGCUCUCUUGCUGCUGGUGGUUUACCAGCAUCCUCUGGUGUUCCUUAGCCCACAGAGGUAUCACUCCAAUCUCUGACAUUAUCUUCACAAAUUUCCUCUUUCUGUAAGGACCCCAGUCCUGUUGCAUGAGAGCCUACCCUAGUGACCUCAUUUUAAUCUGAUUAUCUCUGUAAAAAUCUAUCUACAAAUAGGGUCACAUUCUGAGGUACUGGGAGUUAGGACGGCAACUUGUACAUUUGGGGGUUGGGAGAAAGGACACACGUAGGGUAAGUGGAGGCAGUCUAGCUUCCUCACCCAUGAGUCUGGGUAACUAAGGGAAGCAGUGUUCCCAUAAACUUGAAUGGGCCUGGUAAGUAGUGUUCUCACAGCCUUGAGACUGGGUCUGAUAAACUGUUCCCGUGACAUGAAGUAGGCUCAAAUGAGCUGGAUUAUACUACAUUAUAUAAUUUUCUGGCCUGAGUCUGGCUUUGUUUGCCUCCAGUACUUAAACCAGUAGGGGCUUCUCACUAGGGACACACAGCUUGCAGCGUGCAUAGUUUACCCACUCGGGAAUAAAGGCCUGUCAAGCAUCCCCAUGGCUCCGCACAUUUUCUUCCCAUGUCCCUGAAUCGAGAGUGGACCUGCCAGGGCUUGACAGGCUACAACACAACGCAAUUCAACUCUUGACAGUGGGGAGGAACAAAGUCUGUAAAUAUCGUGUCAAACCAAGGUCCUGAGAAGCCCACGGGCUCACACACCUACCCAGAGGAGGGUCCAGUGGGCAGGGCGCCACUCCCCCUGCCUUUGAUUGGAGUCAGGCCGCUUCUGUCUUUUCACAAGGGAUUUCCUGAAAAAAGGAAAGGUUGUCAGGGAGGGGAAAAGGAGACUUUGUUCAGUGGCUACAGGGUUUCAGUUUGCAAGAUGAGAAAGUUCUAGAUAUCUGUAGGACACGUGUGCAUAGAGUUAACACUACUGUACUGUGCACGUAAAAAUGGCUAAGAACUUAGAUUUUGUGUUCCGUGCUUUGUAUCACACUUUAACAAAGUUGUCAGGAAAUAAUGCUUUGUGGGGAGCACCAGCAAUGCUCUUUGCCUGUGCCAGCCCCGGGUGGUGACAGCAGCGUUUGCACACUGGGACCAAGGGCCGGCCACACCCCGCUCUCAUAAUAUAGCCACAUUUUCUUGGUGCCAUAAUAUGCCAAGAUUCUAUGAGAACUAAUUGACCCGUUUUACAAAAUUAUUUUUCCUUUGCCUCCUGAGAGUGAUUUAGAUUUUAUUAAGAAAUGUCCUGUAUCUCCCCUUUUAAUAGCUUUUAUUAUAUAUGACUUUUGAAAUGCCAAAAAGCUCCACAAAGAAGAGAAAACAAUGCCACUAUCUACUGACUAUAUUCCUUUAGAAUUAGAUACCAAAACUUAGCACAGUAUACAAACACUGACUCCUGAACUUUGUUAUUAAAAGUUAUUACACAAGGGGGCGCUAGAUGAACAUACAAUAGGUCCUUGACAAAAGGAUACCCAGGUGAGGCAGCUUUAGUAAGUAAUUCAACCUGAAAUAAAUUGUAGCGAUUGCUUGUUUCAGGGCUGAGAAUGGCAAUAUUUACUAACCAAAGAAUCUUUUCACAUUACACAUGCAAUUUAAUCUCUUUUUACAGCUAAAAUUUUAGCUUUUUUGGAGUGAAUCUUUGCAACACACACACCCAAAUGCCCAACAAAUACAUAUACAUUCUUCUUCUUUGAUCUGAAGUAGCAAUGAAGUCUCAUAUUAUUAAGCAUUUUCUUACCCAUGUAAUGUGUUAUGUUAGAUCAUUAGAAGCAGUUAUCAAACAAAUAAAGUAAACUCUAUUGGCGAUGAAGCAUAUACUGAAAAGUUUAUUCAUCUACAGGGUCGUUUGGAUUAAACCUCUCAGGGUUCACUCUGGCAGGCGUAUGGCUCCUGACGCUGCACUUCCCUAGCCCCGCAGAGCUAUUUCUAGGAGCUAUCAGGCCAAAUCAGCAAAGUUUUCAGGAGUGAGAAGAAACAUCUGGAAACAUUCAUGUCCUCAUUUCAAAUAUAUUCAGUAAAUGUCCAAAGUAUAAAAUUUUGAAUUUGUGUAGCAGAAAAUAUCAUAAAGUUCUAAUUAGAGUCCAAAGGAAAAAUGCUCUAGACUGGGCGUUCAGCUCAGAACUUUGCAAAGACAAGCAGAAAUCUGAGCAACUCUCGCCCUGGUCCCCUCACACUAGACUGAGUUGAAAACAGUGUAAGGUCUGGGGUUGAUGGAUGUGGUUUCAAAUCCCAGGCACUGACCCUCGAUUUUCUCACCUCUGAAAUGGGAUUGAUGUUCUCCACAUAUUUGAUAUAUUGUGAUGACAUUUCAAAGAAGAUAAUGUUUCUAUAUCAUGCAGGAGAAAUAAUAUUAUGAAGUGUCAGAUGUUCUUCCUCUUUCUUUUUUUCCCUCUUUUCCUUCCCAUCUCCUUUCUCCCUUCCUAAAUUGUCUGAUUUCAAAUAAUGUCAGGCUUCAGAGAACAACAAGCUUUAUAUGUCGCUCUUCCAGUCAUGUUUACUAUUCGGUUGUUUUUACCAGUCAGCCUCUCCUCGCCCUCUCUCUGGUCAUCAUGCUUCCUAUACCUGUGUUUACAGGCUCACUCGGAGAAUUUCCCGGGAGCUGUACUCCAAGGGCUUUGCACACUGUCUAGUGCAAACUAAGGAAAUCAACCAUAUUGAAAACCGCAUUUCAAAGGCCAUAUUCUUUUCCUGUCAUUGUAAAUUUCAGCUCUAUUAAGAAUGCAAUGAUCUAAUAUUCAACUGUCUUAGGUAGGGUCUUUAGGUGGGCAACAGAAUCCCUUUUCCUAAUGUAAGACAGAGACUUUUCAAGGGGUAGAGGCAGCUCAUGGAAUCGUUGGCAGGGCUGCAGAAAUGGGCUGAGCUUCUAGGAGCUGCUGCUCCUUCCACAACAGGAAGCUGUCAGAUCAGGAAGUCUCUGUCGCAGCUGAUGACACAAACAUGUGGCCUCUGCCACGACCUCCACUGGCAAAACAAGUGCCCCCAGUGCUGUCUUUCCCUUCACGUAACUCCGUUCUGAGAGACAGCAUCCCUGGAUGGUAACACUUGGCUUACACCUGGAACUCUACCUUUGAGAGACCGGGAGAUGUAAUACAUGCCCUUGCUAGUGUUUCAGCCCAAGAAGGCACAAUAGAAUGGUGUUGGGAGGAUUUUAAAUGAGCCAGUCCAGAAGCUCUCUACAUUCUUUUUCUAUUUGGUCUAUUUUCAUAUAAUUAUUAGACUUUCUAUAAACUUUGUUAAACACAAGUCAAUGUCCUUUACUGUUACGGGUGAGGAAGAUGAACGAUGCAGAGAUUCAAUACUGUGAGACUAUAUUUAGGACUGUCUAUUUUGAAAUUAUGCAUCUUAAAUAUUUUUAUAAGUAAUCAAAUUCAGUAAGAUUUAUUACCUUUCUCUUCAGAUAGGACUCAGUAUCAUACCUGUGUGGGUGAAACAGAAUGUGAAAUGCCAAGGAAAAGAUAGACCAGUGGGUUACCAUUUUCAAUGAUCCUUUUCCAGAGGUAAUCGUUUAACCUCCGAAAAAGAACUGGAAAACCAUAGCCUCUAGCACCUUGGAUUUUAAAAUGCACCUAAAAUUCUUUGUUUAUUCUGGGAUAAUUCUCAGAAACAUCAUCAAACAAAGGAUUGGUACAGCUUUCCCACUGCGAUGGUUAUUGAACAAUUUUUCAGUUUGCACUGAACCUCUACCAGACCCAUUAUGUCAGUCCAUGACCUUUUACAAAAUUAUGGAAGACAUUCCAAAAUGAGAAAGACGGUCGGCACAGCCAACAGGAAAAUUAGAGUAAAUGUGGUGCCUUUUGAUACAUGAAAUAAUUUCCCACACCUUUGCUUUUCAGAUCUGACUCAUGCUAGAUAAUUUCCAUUAGAAUAUCACAGAUUGGAGGUGAUAUGGGUUUGCAGAGCACAGUGAACUUGAAAACUAUGAAAAUGAUUCAAAUUUCUAUCCCCAAAACCCUUUCCUAACCAUCCUUAUUUUUUUCUUUUGGGCAAAACAAAUGUUACAGAGCCUUUGUAACACUUCAAAGCACUGUGCUGGGCUUUGUUUAAAAGCUGCAAGGAGUCCAAAUUUCUGAUCAUACAAAAACAGUUUGAUACCAUCUGAGAUAAUGAUUAUUAAUCCAGUCAUUUAAAUCACUCAGGACAAUGAGUACAUGUUCCCCUGAACAGAAAUACUUGCUUUCAAACCAUCCAUAACCAUAUCUUAGCAGAAUCUGGAUCUGACAACUGUCUGGAACGGGCCUUGUGAUAAAAAGUGAGAUUUUCAGCAGAGGGAGGCAGGCAACCCGGUGCUACCCGCCAAGGGGGUGGCUGAGGAAAUCCACAGUACUACUUCUCCCUCCUGCAGUUCUUCAAUGGCUUGCUGCCACCUCCUACUGGCUGAACUUAAAUAGAGACAGAAGCCAGAAUGCUGUCUAGCAAUAAUGUGAUCCCAGGGCUCAAAGCCUGAGUGGACAGUGGAUCUGGUGUAGCAAAAAGAAGAUCUGAUGAGCAUGGCCUUUAUCUGUGCCAAUUUUUGAUAGAUCUAAUUUAAUCCUCACCAAAACCUACUACAUGAAGAUUAUCUUCUGCACUGUGUAAAUAAGAAAAAUAAAGGCUCAAAUCUUUUAUUGUAAUUCAGCACAGCCAGUAAUGUAAGUCAUCAUAAUAAUAGUUUGGAGGGGGAAAACAUCUAAGUACAUGCAGAAAAGAAAGUACUGGAAUAAUUUAUUUUUUAUUAAUGGUAAAAUACUUUAGCAAUUUUUGCAUAGAAAAGACUUUAUUAAAGUAGUAAAGAGUAUAUAUAUUGAUCUGCAAUCAUUAGUAUACCUGAUUGUAGAAAUUGUAGAAACAUCGUUUUAAAAUCCAGAACAAAUCAAAAUGUCUACUGUAUUGCUUUUACUUAAUAUUUCAAUUCAAGUCAAAGCUACUGCUGAAAGUCUUAGCUAUUGAAGGAAGAAAUAUGUAAGAAUUUAAAAAAGAAAAAACUACAAAACAAAUAAAAAUAUAUAGGCAUUGAAAAAAAAUCAGUCAAACAAAAAGCUGAGAAAGGGGUAAUAAAAAGGCAGCAGAAAUGCAUGGUUGAAGAACACAGGCUCUGAGGUACCACAGAUCUGGCUUUGAACUCAGCUUUCCCGCUCACUCUCACAUUGCGUGACCUUGGCUAAGUACAACAUCACAGACCCUCACGUGAUAAAUGAGUGGUACCAGUAUGAGUGUAGAUAUCAUGGUUGUCUGCAUAGGAAACCCAAGGAAAUCUAUAGGUAACAUGGGAUCUAAGCAGAGAGCUCAGCAAGACAGAACAAUGUACAAAAAACAAUUGCAUUUUCCCAUGCUAGUAACUAAGAAUUAGAAAAUGUAUACUUUAAAAUACACAGAAUUUAGAAGUAAACCUAAUAAAAUAUGUGCAUGACUUGUGGCAAAAAUUAUAAACUUUACAGAAAGUUUAAAAAGAGCUAAAUAUGUAGAGAAAGGUAUAUGUUUAUGCAAUUAAAAUAUAAUGCUUCUCCCAGAUUAAUGUAUACAUUAAAGAUAAUUCCAAUAAAAAUGCCAAUUUACAGGCUUACAAGCUACAUGAAGAAAAAAGGGCCAAGAAUGCUAAAAACAGUACAGCAUUAAAUCAAGACAUAGCCAUAUCGAGACUUAUUAUAAAACUGUAAUAGUUAAGACAAGGUGACAAGAAAAAAACAAAUGGAAGAGAAGAGAUACCCCAAGAGCAGAUCUAUCCACAUUUGGUUAUUGAUUAUGUGACAGAGAUGUCAGUGCUGAUCAGGAGGGUUCAUGGGUACAAGGACACCUGGGUAUGAGGAAAAAGGCAAACUAAUAACAAAAGACGUAAAGAAAUGAAAAGAAAGCCAUUCUAUGUGUUCAUGGAAUCAGUUUAAACGUUUAUGCGCAAAUACAAAAUGUUUGUUUUUAUUCAAUGGUUCAAAGAUGAGACCUGUUUAAUUUGUGUCUGCACGUCCCCCUGACGUGACCAGGUUGGCCUCGUUAAUUUAUCUGCUGUUCCUUUCUUCUCCUCCGCUCUGCCCUUGUGUUCCCUGGCAAACAACACAAAACUCUAGGCCUUUUGUAGUUGUCACCAGCACCAUUUGUCUUUGGACAAUUCAGAUAAUGGUAAUUCAGAGCAGUGGUCAGGAACCUUUUUGGCACCAGAGAUUUGGUGAAAGACAAUUUUUCCACUGACCAGGGUCGGGCUGGGGAGGCUGAACUCAGGCAGUAAUGCAAGUGAGCAGUGUCCCCCCGGGAAGGAGGGAG